CAGUCGCCACGGUAAUACGGAGGGUGCAAGCGUUAAUCGGAAUUACUGGGCGUAAAGCGCACGCAGGCGGUCUGUCAAGUCAGAUGUGAAAUCCCCGGGCUUAACCUGGGAACUGCAUUUGAAACUGGCAGGCUAGAGUCUUGUAGAGGGGGGUAGAAUUCCAGGUGUAGCGGUGAAAUGCGUAGAGAUCUGGAGGAAUACCGGUGGCGAAGGCGGCCCCCUGGACAAAGACUGACGCUCAGGUGCGAAAGCGUGGGGAGCAAACAGGAUUAGAUACCCCUGUAGUCCCUGUCUCUUAUAA
rnacentral:rRNA from 1 species